GGCGGAGAGCCAAGUUAUUGAAUGGG
rnacentral:tRNA from 1 species